rnacentral:rRNA from 1 species
CCUACGGGAGGCAGCAGUAGGGAAUCUUCCACAAUGGGCGCAAGCCUGAUGGAGCAAUGCCGCGUGUGUGAAGACGGUCUUCGGAUCGUAAAACCCUGUUGUUAGGGACGAAAGUGCGUGAGAGUAACUGUUCACGUUCCGACGGUAUCUAACCAGAAAGCAACGGCUAACUACGUGCCAGCAGCCGCGGUAAUACGUAGGUGGCAAGCGUUAUCCGGAUUUACUGGGCGUAAAGGGUAUGCAGGCGGUCGUUUAAGUCUGAUGUGAAAGCCUUGGGCUUAACCGGAGUAGUGCAUAGGAAACUGGGAGACUAGAGUGCGUAAGAGGGGAGUGGAACUCCACGUGUAGCAGUGAAAUGCGUAGAUAUAUGGAAGAACACCAGUGGCGAAGGCGGCCCUCUGGUCUGUAACUGACGCUGAGGUUCGAAAGCGUGGGUAGCAAACAGGAUUAGAUACCCUAGUAGUC